rnacentral:lncRNA from 1 species
AAAGACUUCAUAAAUAUUCAAAAUAAAUAUUUUACUUGUUUGGAGGAAGAAACAAAAGCAAGCAUUUCAGAGUAAGUAGGAAGGGCUACAAAGCCAUUGUCAUCAAAAUUAAAUUCUAACGUAAAAAUAGUAACUAAAUUUGUCUCAAAAAUAAAACAGGAAGGAUAAAAUCUCAUAAACAAAAAAACAGUACUAAUAACGUCCAAUGCCCCGGACUCUAACAACACCAUCGGUAUAUCCACUAAACAAAGUGCUUCCAUCAGCACUCCAGUUCAAACUAGUGCAGUAAAUGUCCUGCAAAGAAAACGCCAGAAGUAGAGCAAAUAUAUAACUGAAUUGGAAAAACAACAAACCGAAUGCAGAUGCUUGUGUAAAACAAGCCAGAAAUAAAUAGAUUAAAUUUGAGACAUUGUUGAUUAAUACAUACAACAACUAAACAAAGAUUAUUUCAUCAAAUUGCAGCAAGAGAUAAACAACAUAAAUAAAACUCAGGUUAACAAAACCAGUAAAAGAUAAAUGCAAAACCAGUCAUCAAAUAGCUGCAAAAGAUAACACACAUAACCAGUAAAUGAACUUAAAUCAUCAGCAUUAAACCGACACAACAAAACUUCUAGCAUAUCAUAUAAGCUUGAAAAAUAUGGAAAAAAUAAUGGCAGGCAGGAAACAACCAACACUAAAUAAAAAUCAUCUAAACAACUUAAUCAUCUGCGCCAGAUGACUAGCGUUCAGGGAAUUACGAAUAAAACCAAUUAAGAAACAAUCAACUUCAAUUCAAUACCAGGCAAAUAACCAAACAUUCAAACCAUUUCAAGAGUCAUAAACAGAAAGCCCAUAGUCAAAGUAAACAAAAUAAGAAAAAUUCCCUGACAUAUGAUGCAUUUCGCGUGACACAAAAGUUAAAACCAUUUUGUCCAUGGAAGAAAGACAUAUUCAACAUAAAGUAGUCACAAAUUUAAAGAACGACACGACUCCAAAAGAAUAUUCGUUAACAUUAAACAAAUAAGUACGCCCUGCACAGUUAGGAUAAAUCUCUUUACAGAACAAUUCACAUAGUAUCAUCCAUUUAUCAGAUGUUGAAUAAGCUCAGAAAAUCAGGUAAAUAAAAAAAAUUCAAAAAGCAAGAACUAACAAAAUUUAAAUCAACUAGUGUGAUUAAUAACUGUAAUAUAAAAUUUAAAAAAUAUACCUCUUCUUUGGUAGUGUUACCACCGGUGACGGUGUAGCCAUCAGCUCAUGACUUUAAGUCAACUUCAAAUCCUCAACAUGCCUUGCUCUCAAAUGCCGCAGAUCUUUAAUGCUGACUUCGAGUGCAGCACAUAGCCUGAUACCUGUUAGUACUAAAAGCACAAGGCAUGGAUAAUAGAACCCCAUCUUAAGAGAGUAAAGUUCUUCUCCUAGCCAAAAAUCCCACAAAAGAAUAACACCAUCUUUGCAACCACUGGCACAGAGGGAACCAUCAGAGGGAACAUCAAGCAAUCAGGUGUUGAUCAUAUCCAGAGUGUCCAGCUAAGAGUGUUCUCACGCUACCAGAUCUUGCAGUUUGUCAGAUUUCCAAACCUUCAACAGUUUUAUCGCUCAUGAGCAGAGACAAUAGUACGGCUUGUUAGAGUGCUUAGGGCCUCGAACGCACUACAGCCUAACCAAUCAGAAUUGAGCUAUCACCGUCGGCCAUAGCCUGUACUUGCGCACCUCACCGAGAGUGUUCAACAGCUUAAUCGGUGCACGAUAAAACUAGUUUAAGGUAUGCCCAUUAGGUUCUAUAAGCGCUGUCCCGGUUGUUCCAAUAGACAUCUAGUAUGAUCCUGUCGAGAUCUUCCUUGGACCACCCUUCUCAUUACUUGUGUCAACGCAUCUCUAUCCGAUUUAGAAUAAGUUCAGUACAGAUAUAAAGUAUCCCUAUACUAUCUAACAGCAAACAGAUUAACAUUACAUAAUUCUCUAAGUUUCUCAUCUAUUUUCUCUAUCAACUAAUACAAGCUCUUAGUUUCUAUUUCAAAAAUGAAGAAGCAUUUGGUACCUGCUCUGUAAUUGUUUUUGAGAAGCGCACCCCUCCUCCAAAUACACCCACAUGGCCUUCAGGGACUGUGAACAAUGACAAGGAAUUUUAUAAGGAUGAUGAUUGCUGUGGGAACCAAAACCUAUAGAUAACAUAAGACAUGUCUUAAGCUUUAAGUUGUCAAUAAACACUAACACAAACCGAUGUACAACUGAAAGUAACCAGUGUGUCAAUGUCCGCCGACACAUGUCAGAUACAAUAGAAAUAUUCAAUCAGAAAUGUCGGGCUACAUAGUUAGAUGUUGACAACAAUCAAUUCAAUGAAACAUAACCUCAUUAAGCAUUAUCAAUCAAAUCAAUCAAACAAGAACGAAUAUCAAACAACAACAAAUUAAGACAAAGAUUCCAUUGCCUAUGCAUUAUCAUCAAAAUCAAAGCAAGCAAAACAAUUUCAAAACAACAACUAAUGUCAUCUAAACACGCAAGUGUUACACAAGAGUGCCCUAAAAAUACAUCAACAUUGACACAUAAUUAUUAUCACACUAAUUUUUUAUGUGCGAUUGUUUUCAAUGCUGUUAAAUAUAGUUUUUCUAUAUGAAAAUUCAAACAAUGGAUAUUUCACGGCGAUAUAGAUAACAAAAAACAAAAACAGGAAUCGAAUGUUUAACUUUUCAGUAAUACAUUUGGGAAAGAGAUACAGUGAGAUAGAGAGUAUUACGAUAGCGCAAUGGCUAUGAAGGAGAGCAAGAUGAAGGUAACGGAAGGUGGAGUUGAAUCGGUGUGGCGAGCUCGUGUUGGAACGCUGCGAAUCCAUGGCGGUGCAACUUUCUUGGCUGUUUGAUUCUGAGUUUGGGUUUGGUAUAUUUUGCUUUAUUGGUCAUCAUGCGGUUCUUCUAAAACACGUUCAAUGAUUGAAACCGAAAAAUUGGAAGUGUAUUCGGUUCGCUGUUAUGGUUUUCGCUGAUAGGGUUCAACGUUCGCAGGAGGAAAACAAAAGAACAGAGAACGAAAAUUGAAAUGGAGUCUGAAAUUUUAUUUUAAUUAGACCUUAGACAGCGCUUUGUGGAAAGCGGCUUUCUAAGUAUGCCUUUUAGACAGCGCUUUCCAAAAGCGCUUUCUAACCCCCCCUUAGACAGCGCUUUGGUUUUAAUUUUUUUUUAAUUUAAAGACUUUAGACAGCGCUUUAUCAAAAGCGCUGACUAAGGUCUAUAUUUAAAAGCGCUGUCUAAGGGGGGGUCUUAGACAGCGCUUUUAGAAAGCGCUGUCUAAGACCCCCCUUUAGACAACGCUUUCAUUAUUUUUUUGGAACAUUUUCCGUGUUUUAUUUUAAUUUUAACCUUAGACAACGCUUUCUUUUAAAAGCGUUGUCUAAGAUGCGCUGUUAAAAGUCAUUUUUGGCGUAGUGUUCCCAUUUUCUCGAACAAGGUAUAGGGCAUUAGAUUGACUGCAACACCCCGUCGACAAACACCUUAUUCACCGCCAUUCCAUCAACCUUAACUCUGAUGAACAAUGGUUUUAGGUGGUACAUCAUCCCAGGACUAGGCCUUUCAAACAUAGCUUUAUGUUCUUCCACCACGCUGUUAUUCAUGACAUAGUAGCAUAAAGGUUUUCCUCCAUCUGUUUCGUCUGGUAUAAAGUCUCCCUUUAUUUCAGAAACUUUAAAUACCAUGUCAUAUUCAGCUGGUAGCACCGACACAAUGCCACAGUUUACGACGAAAUCAUCACCAUAUAUAUCAUCGUGGUUUUCGUCGUACAUGUCCUCGUCAAAUACCUCGUCAGACUGAGGGGAAUAUUCAGGCCCCCCCUUCUCUGGUUGGGGAGAAUACUCUGGUUCCUCCUCCUUCGAAUUGCCCUCGCUUCGUGGCUGUCUCUCGAUCUCUGACGAACAUUCCACAUUCUGAGUAGCUAUCACUGCCUCUUUUCCCGUCCAGUCGACGGUCAUGGCCACUGUCUGAUUGGCCAUCAUUUUUCCUGGUCCUUUUGCCUUUGACAUCUGUUCCUUUUGUUCAGUGGUCUUUGAAGUCUUCGACUGUGGAGUGGUAAUGACUUUCCGAGCUUUUUUGUUUUGCUGGUGGCGUCUCCACUGUGUCAUCGUCAUUUUAUUCUUUCCCUUGUAGUUAGGGGAGAUUGUGUAGCAUCUUUUCUUCUCUGGAGAUGUUGUCUCUUUCUCCAACACCCUCAAUUUGGCUUUUUGCCCCCUUUCUGAUUGACAGAUUCUAUCCAUUUCUCCUGUGGAACAUCAGUUGGAGGAAUGAAAGUCUUUGGUCGGGAACGCUUAAAUUGUCUUCUAUAAUCCUCGUUCCGUCGAGGUGCUCUAUGAAUGUCAAUCACAGAUCAUGGGACAUCAGGCUUUUCCUCUUUAACAACCUUGUUGUCGGCCUCUAGUCUUUCGACGGUUUUCUCGUCGAACACCGCGCUGCACUUUGGGCACAUCACAUCUUUUGACCCAUUUCCCUUGCACUUCUCCUGGAAGUAUGACAAGCUUUUUCCAGGCUAGGGACAGGGCGACUCGGGCCUCCUUUCGUCUUUGUUUCCGAAACACUCAGUAGUUUCGACCAUCAUCAUUUCAAAUGAUUCAACUAACGAGGUUGCUUUGGAAACCUCAAUGAGAACAUUAGUAGUCUCUACCAUUUUGCACUCUAGAGGCUCUGCAUACAAAUCUUCUUCCACCUUCAGAGGUUCAAAAUCCACCUGCAUUUUUGGCCUUUCGACAAACUGGAGCCUUCCUUCUUUCAGAGAUUUCUGCACCAAAUCCCUAAAAAGAACACAUUGGUGAGUUUUGUGACCAAGGAAAUUAUGAAAUUUAUAAAAUCCACCUUUCUUCUUUUGUUCUAGGGGAGGGUCUUUUAAACCCUGAGGGAUGAUAAUCUGACCAUCUUUUACUAAUAGAUCAAAGAUUCCGUCGCACUUAGACACAUCGAACGUAUAUGUCUUAGCUAUGUAUUUGUCUGUUCUCUCUCGUUCGACAAGGUUUUUUCCAUCCGAUGGCUUCAAAACCUUACACGCAUAUGGAGGUCCGGGCUUAAGUUUUGCCACAUUAACCUCACUCCUGUCGACUGUAUCUUCGUCAUCGGAAGAGACUCCUUCGACUAUGAUAUAGGACACUUUUUCCUUCUUAUGAUAUCGACCCGCCUUUGACUUCUCAUCUUUCAAGCAUUCGAUACGUCAAACCCUAUCAGCCAAUUGGGCCAUAUCCCUAAGAUAUUGAGUAUCCAUCCUUUUCCUUAUAGAAUAAUCUAGAUCCCCUGUCGCCAUCUCGAUUAGUUCGUGUUCAGGGACUUGAGUAAAGCACCAUGCCUUCAGUAGUCUAAACCUGUUCAGGUACUGAUCAAUUGAUUUAGUAACCUUUCGCUUAAUGUUAGCAAGUUCUUUGAGGUUGAUCUUUGAUUGUCCCAUGUAGAAUUGUUCAUGGAACAACCUCUCCAACUGUGUUCAUGUUUGGAUCGACUUUGGAGGAAGCAUCGUGAACCAUAUGAACGCGUUUUUUGUCAAAGAACUUGGGAAGUAUUUUAACUUCAAAUCUUCAUUUUUCGAUAUGUCUCCAGCCUCGGUCUGGUACCUGGCCACGUGCUCGACGGUGGAUUCUUCAGUAUCCCUAGCGAACUUAGUAAAUUAGGGACUUUCCAUCCCCUUGGCAAUUCUGUCUGUAAGACAAAAUCUGGUAGAGGAGAGGAGUACGUCGGCCGUUGGAUGCAAAGACUUGCUCCAUUUCACAGUAUGAUCCAUUCGAAGAUAGCCUCUAGGUUUUGUUCCCCUAUGGCUGCAUCGUGUCGAACUUGUCGAACCACCUGGUCUGGAUCCUGGUUACGGUUAACCAGUAUCACGGGGGCCUUUGUGCCACCCUUCGGAUGUGUUCGAAUUCCUGAUAUUCCUGUUCGACAGUGUCAUCUAUCAUCUUUUCUUGUCGAACUGGUGUUUCUGGUCGAGGAGGAGGUGUGGGAUUUCGACAAACUUAAGCCCUUGGAGCUCCCCAAAAAAUAUCCAAUCCUUAUCAUUUGGGUCUCCAACUAGUGGCAACUCUGCGUCGAAUCCUGGAUCAAUGGUCUCAAAAUAGUACCCAUUUGUUGAGUUAGCAUAUGUACCAUUUCAUGGUUGCUUUCGUCCAUCUGUUGUCUCAUAACGACAUCAGAGCUUGACGUAAAAGUUGGGACUGAUUGAGACGUCAAUCCGAAACCUGGGGGUCGACCAAAUGGGGUUGCCAAAUGUCCUAACCCCUAGUAAAAAGAGAAUGGCGAUGACGAGGUAUCAUUUUAAGUCGAACUGAGGUUAUGCAUAUUUGCCAUAAACUCCGUCGGCAUUCCCAACGUUCUGUUCAUGGUGCCCCUAUUUAAGGACAUUCUAACUGAGGAGGCGAAGGUUAAAAUCUUCAUGUCGACUCAGUAGAAUGGGCUUAAAUAAAAACAUAUAGAAACAAACUUUGGUCCCUAAGAGACCUCAUGAUGCAUAUGAUAUGAAUGUAAAAGUUAAUGCUCUAUGGGGAAAUAUUGCCACAAAGGAAAAAGAAGUCGGAGAGACCGAAAGUCCGCAGGAGUAAAAUGCAUUCCGUAAGGAAAACUCACUGGGGAGACCGAGACUCUGAGGGGAAAAAGAGGUUACACGUAGGCCAGGCUACGACUUAAAACUGCUGGGGGACUCGAGGGACUCCAUACAAACAUGGAAAAGACUUAGCCGAGGAACUACAACAUCUACAGGGGAUACGAGUAAGUCAGGAUAAAACUGAAGUACUUAAAUCAUGCAGGGAAAAUGAUUUCACUAAGGAAAUGCGCAUUCAAUUCAACUGGGGAGAAAUAAACUUCAACACAGGAGGAACAGAAAUCUAUUAUCUACUACCUGUUACUGGGUAAGGAGAUAAUAAAGAUCUGACAGAGAGGAUGCCCGUCAUCGGUUAGGAUGAAUAUAUCAAGGAUAGACUCAAGCAGGGGAGAGAAAGAUAUAUGUAACCGGUUAGGGUGAACAUAUCAAGGAUGUACUUCCUGGGGAAUCAGAUCCACUGGGGACUCCACUGCUGGGAAAGCUGGGGUACUUUUGCCGGGUAUUGGGCAAGAAGUAACAAACUGCAAACUAAGAAGAAUAUUACCAGUUACUGGGAAAUAGACUCUUAGGGGACUCAAAGCAUCUAUCUAGGUAAGAGCUGAAAGAAACGGUCAAUCAAGACUCAACCCAUUGAUGACAUAACCCAAGGGGAGUGAUUCCAUCCAGAUAAUUAACUGGGGAGGAAACUGAAAUAAUAAUCAUCCACGAGGAAACAAACUCAGUGGGGGAAAGGAGAAAGGUUAAAGUCUUUCUGCUUAAGGGGCUGACACUCUACAAUUGAAGGAGGACAGACACCAGAUUUUGUAUGGGGAUAGAGUACCGCCAUAACAAAGAAUAAUCUAAAACUCAGUGGGGGAAAGGAGAAAGGUUAAAGUCUUUCUGCUUAAGGGGCUGACACUCUACAAUUGAAGGAGGACAGACACCAGAUUUUGUAUGGGGAUAGAGUACCGCCAUAACAAAGAAUAAUCUUGAAUGAAUCAAUCAAAUAUGAUAAUGAAAAUCAUGAAAUUAUAUGAAUGUGUAUGUAUAUGUAUAUAUGAUGAUUAUGCUGACAACACGAUCACAAAGGAUACCGAGGCGUCGCAAAGAAUUUGAAUCAUCGGUACAAUCCUCGGUUAAUCCAUAAGAUAUGGAGAGAACUGCUGGAGAACAGAGAGAUCAUUAAUCCGAAAAGGCUCAACCCUAACUGGGGAAGAAGCAGAUCUGCUGAGGAAAGAAACCUCAAAUUUGUCGGGAAUUUUAGGUAAACACCAUAAAAAUGAGAGAUAACCCUACAGGGAAUGAUCACAAAAAAAAAGUUGCUCAGAAACCAGGAGGAAACUCUGACUAGGAGCAAGUCGGACGGCGAUUGGCGGGGAAGCCAAUGCGAUCUACUAGGGAAAUCAACCAUAUCUGCUGACGAUCAACCCUGCUGAGGAAACACAAACUCCGUUGGCGAAGGCAGAAACUCUGUCGGGGAAAAUAACACACCGUAGGGUAUCUGAAUCAACCAACUCAGCUGCAGAAAAAGAACGAAGCUUUUACUGGAGAGAACAAACAUUCCGCCGAGGAACUGAAUCAACACAAACGUCCAGGGAUACCCAAAGGGUUAAUUGCUUGGGGAACCUCUGAUGUUUCUCACUGAAGGACUUGCUAUCUCUUAAAAUGUUGUUGAUAUUCCUUUUAAUUGCUUUGAAAAAUUAUUGCUUUUAUAUAUUUUUAUGAAAAAGAGAUUUUAAUUAAAAAAUUUAAAUUUUCAAAAUGAUCAUAAUAAAAUUUAAAACUAUUGGCUGAAGUAAAUAAGAGUAGAAACAAUUGGACAAAAGCUCAACUUUAUUGGAUGGAAUAGUUGAGCUUUCGGGUUUUCAAUCCACCGAGACGCUCUUUUUUCCUAAGCCGCCCUUUCGGGUUUUCAACUUAGCGAGUUGUUCUGUUUUUAGGCGAAGUAUUUCUUGACUGCAUCUGCGUUCACAGGACGAGUGAACUCUUCACCAUCCAUAGUUGUAAGUAUCAAUGCACCGCCUGAAAAGGCUCUCUUAACAACAUAUGGGCUUUCAUAAUUAGGAGUCCAUUUUCCUCUAGAAUCUUGUUUGAAGGAUAAAAUCUUCUCGAGCACAAGGUCACCUUCUUUGAACACAUGAGGUUUGACCUUCUUAUCAAAAGCUUUCUUCAUCCUUUGCUGAUACAACUGACCAUGACACAUGGCAGUUAAUCUCUUCUCUUCAAUCAAAUUCAACUGCUCAAACCUGGUCUAACACCAUUCAACCUCAGUCAACUUGGCUUCCAUAAGCACACGCAAUGAAGGAAUCUCAACCUCUACGGGGAGCACUGCUUCCAUACCAUACACAAGAGAGAAAGGGGUUGCCCCUGUUGAAGUGCGAAUGGAUGUACGAUACCCAUGUAAAGAAAAUGGGAGCAUCUCAUGCCAAUCCUUAUAUGUGACAACCAUCUUCGGAAUAAUCUUCUUGACGUUCUUGUUCGCGGCUUCAAUAGCCCCAUUCAUCUUAGGUCUGUAGGAGAAGAGUUAUGAUGUGCAAUCUUGAAGUCUUUGCAAAGAACUUCCACCAUAUUGUUAUUCAAGUUCGAUCCAUUGUAAGUAAUGAUCUUACUUGGCACACCAUAACGACAUAUAAUUUGAUUCUUGAUAAACCUUACAACAACUUGCUUGGUUACAUUUGCAUACGACGCCGCUUCAACCCAUUUGGUGAAGUAGUCAAUUGCCACCAAAAUGAAACGAUGUCCAUUCGAAGCUUUGGGCUCAAUCAUCCCAAUCAUAUCAAUUUCCCACAUGGAGAAGGGCCAUGGGGACAAGGUAACAUUCAAUAGUGUCGGAGGAACAUGAAUCUUAUCAGCAUAAAUUUUACACUUGUGGCAUUUCUUCACAAAUUUGCAAUAGUCAGAUUCCAUUGUCAACCAAUAGUAAUCUGCUCUCAACAUCUUCUUCGCCAUUGCAUGUCCAUUGGAAUGAGUACCAAAGGAACCUUCAUGCAGUUCAGUCAUCGACAAGUUUGCUUCGUGUCUAUCCAUACAUCUGAGCAAAACCAUGUCGAAGUUUCUCUUGUAUAGUAUAUCACCAUUCAAGUAGAAAUUGCCGGCUAAUCUUCUCAAAGUCUUCUUAUCUUUCAAAGAUGCAUAAGACGGGUAAAUAUGACUUUGGAGGAAACAUUUGAUAUCGUAAUACCACGACUUCUCGUCUUUGAUCUCUUCAACAACAAUCAUUGACGCCAAUGUUGUAGGAGCAUCUGCCAUCCGGUUUUCAUCUCGAGGGAUAUGAUGAAACUCAACCUUUGUAAAGAAAGUUGAAAUCCUCCUCGCAUAAUCUCUAUAUGGUAUUAAACCGGGUUGAUUUGUCUCCCAUUCUCCUUUGACUUGAUUCACAACCAAAGCCGAAUCACCGAAGACAUCCAAAUACUUGAUUCUGAGAUUCAUGACCUCUUCGAGCCCCAUAAUGCAAGCUUCAUAUUCUGCCAUAUUGUUAGUACACUUGAAAGUCAAUCUAGCUGUAAAUGGUAGAUGCGUGCCUUGAGGAGUAAUAAUCACUGCCCCAAUGCCAUUUCCAUAUUGGUUAACAGCUCCAUCAAAUACAAUGCCCCAACGGGAUACAGGUUCUGGCCCUUCUUCAAGCAAUGGUUCAUCACAAUAUUUCAUUUUUAAGUACAAAAUCUCUUUAUCAGGGAAAUCAUAUUGCCAUGUCUGGUAAUCUUCAAUUGGUUGGUGAGCGAAAUGGUCAGCCAAGAUACUACCUUUGAUUGCUUUCUAAGAUCGGUAUUCGAUAUCAUACUCUGAUAACAACAUCUGCCAACGGGCAAUUCUCCCAGUUAAAGCAGGCUUCUCAAAUAUAUACUUGAUUGGAUCCAUUUUGGAUAUUAACCGAGUGGUAUGAUUUAACAUAUACUGGCGCAGACGCUUAGCAGCCCAAGCCAAUGCGCAACAAUUUUUCUCAAGCAUACAAUACCGAGUCUCACAGUCGGUGAACUUCUUACUGAGGUAGUAAAUUGAAAAUUCUUUCUUUCCAUUCUCAUCUUGCUAACCAAGAACACAACCCAUACUUUCAUCAAGCACAGUCAAAUACAUGAUCAAUGGUCUUCCUUCAACAGGUGGAGACAAAAUCGAAGGUUCAAGCAAAUAUUCCUUGAUACUGUCAAAAGCUUUUUGUCAGUCUUCGGUCCAAUCACAAGACUGAUCUUUCUGAAGAAGCUUGACUAUAGGCGCACAUGUGGCAGUCAUAUGGGAAAUGAAUCUGGAGAUAUAAUUCAAGCCCCCGAGAAAACCUUUGACUUGCUUCUCAGUUUUGGGCGCAGGCAUCUCUUGUAUUGCUUUGACCUUGGCAGGAUCAACUUCAAUACCCUUCUCGUUGACAAUAAAGCCCAACAACUUACCAGAACGAACACCAAAAGUACACUUAUUGGGAUUAAAGCGAAGUUUAUAUUUCCUCAAACGCUGGAAUAGCCUCAACAAAUGCUCAACAUGUUCAUCUUCAUUAAUUGAUUUAGCAAUCAUGCCAUCAACAUAAACUUCAAUCUCUUUAUGCAUCAUAUCAUGAAAAAGAGUAGUCAUUGCUCUUUGGUAAGUUGCACCAGCAUUCUUUAAACCGAAAGGCAUCACUCUAUAACUCUUACAAGGGGUUCCUGUAAUGAAUGUGGUCUUCUCCAUAUCUUCGGGUGCCAUCUUGAUCUGAUUAUAUCCAGAAAAUCCAUCCAUAAACGAAAAGACUUUGAAUUUAGCAGUAUUGUCUACCAAUAUAUUAAUGUGUGGCAGAGGGAAAUCAUCUUUCGGACUAGCUUUAUUCAAAUCUCUAUAAUCAACACACAUGCGUACUUUUCCAUCUUUCUUCGGCACUGGCAAAAUAUUGGCCACCCAUUGCGGAUACUCAGCGGUCACAAGGAAACCGACAUCAAUCUGCUUCUGCACUUCCUCUUUGAUCUUCACAACCAUAUCAGGACGCGUUCUUCUCAACUCCUCCUUGACUGGCGUGCAUUCUGGCUUCAACGGCAAUCUAUGCUCCACAAUAUCAGAAUCCAACCCAAGCAUGUCUUGAUAGGACCAAGCAAACACAUCUGAAUACUCUCGAAGAAGAUCAAACAACCCCUUCUUAGCAUCUGGACACAGGCGAGACCCAAUCUUGACUUCCUUCACAUCAUCUUCAGAACCCAAGUUGACUAGUUCAAUCUGCUCUUCAAACGGAUUAAUGGUCUUUUCAUCUUGCUCAAGAAGGCGAGAUAAUUCAUCACUCACUUCUACAUCACUUUCCUCCUCGGCCUCAAACACAGGGAAUUCAAAAUUUGGAGAAGAAGAAGGAUCAUUGUAUUUAAUUGGGUUAGGAACCAACCUGCAUAAUGAUUUGAUAUUUUGAUUUUAGAGAAGUGAAUAUUGUGACCAAAUAUUAUGCAGAUGGACAAUUAUAUUGUUUAUUUAUGUUUUUUGUGAUUACCAUUUUCAGAAUAAAGCAACAAGUAAAAACAAACAUCAUAGAUGUGGAUGAAUAAAAUUAAUUUUAUUAAUGAUCAAUUGAAAAUGCCCAAACAAGUCCACUUCUCCCUUAGGCAUAGGAGACGGAUUUAAAAACAUAUAAAAGUAUUUACUUAGAUUGAUGGAAAAUAACAGGAAUAUCAAUAGGAGUCUAAUUGUUGCACGUCUUUCCAUGCGUCACAAAAUUGGUGCAGUCUUCCUCUUCGUCAUCCUCUAGCACAACAGCUAAGUGUUGUUCAUUGCCAUGAAUGAACCCUCCACUACGGAAGCUGAGUUGUAUAUCUUCAGAUCUUGCAAUUGAUGAGCCUUUCUGGAACCCCAAACCGGUUAUGCCCUUGUUGUCGGAGACCUCUAUCAUGCGCCCCCACUGAUCAAUAGUUCCUUCUUCAACAAUCUUUUGAGCAUCUUUUAAUGAGGACAUAGGUGCCCCAACUCUCUUCUCAACAGAAAUAGAUAAGGCUUGGAACGGAGUCCCAACCUCAUCCUCAACUUCAACAUAAGAGAAAGAUGACAGGUGGCUAACCAAUAGCGCCUUCUCCCCACCAACAAUCACUAGCUUGCCAUUAUUGACAAAUUUCAGUUUCUGAUGUAGAGUGGAAGUAACAGCUCCUGUCUCAUGGAUCCAUGGCCUUCCCAUUAAGCAACUGUAGGCCGAUGGAUAUGCAUUACUUGAAAAGAAAUCUGAAAAUCACUCGGACCUAUCUUGACUGGAAGGUCUUCUUCACCAAUUACUGUCUUGCGCGAACCAUCAAAGGCUUUGACGAUUACACCGCUAUACCUCAUGAGUGCUCCUUGAUAAGAUAGCUUCGACAAAUUUGACCUUGGAAGCAUAUUCAGUGACGACCCGGUGUCAAUAAGCACAUUUGACAAAGCAUCUUCCUUGCAAUUCAUCGAGAUAUGCAAAGCCAAAUUAUGGUUUCUUCUCUCCUUAGGGAGUUCUUCAUCAUAGAAGCUGAGAUUAUUGCAAGAAGUGAUGUUAGCCACAAUAUGAUCGAAUUGAUCCACUGUAACAUCAUGUUUUACAAAAUCUUGUUCCAGAACUCUCUGCAGUGCUUCUCUAUGCGCUUCGGAAUUCAUCAGCAGAGACAACACUGAAAUUUUUGAGGGGGUUUGGAGCUGCUGCUCUACCACAUUGAACUCUCUCCUUUUGAUUAGUCGGAGUACCUCAUCAUCAUCAUUGGCUUUCAAAUUGCUGGAUUCACCAAACUUAUCUUUCGAACAGCCAACUGGGUCCACACUAGGCACCUCCACUUUCUUCCCAACAAUUGUUUCCUCUUUAUCCUUUGGGAACACCGGCCCAAACACUCGACCACUGCGGGUCACCUUAGUAACAUCAGCAAUGCUCACUACUGAACUAGUCGUAGGUAACGGGACCUCUUGACCAUCCUUCAUCAUUGUAGCAUUAUAUUGAUACGACACAACUUUAUCAGAUGAAUACGGGACUGGGCCCGCUAACCGUAUUACCAACGACGAUACUGAUCUUUAACUGUUGUUGUUACUAGAGUCAUACUGGAUUACCAAUCGCUCUUGUUGCUUGAAAACGGGCACUAUGACAUUAACAUCGUCAUCUACAUGACGGGAUUGAACAAUUUAGAUCAUUCCUUCAUACAUCAGUCGUUGGAUGUCCCUUUUCACAACCUCACAACCCCUCGGGUUAACACUACAAACAGCACAACCAUCAUGGUCGUGCUCGCAUUCACUUACCAAACAAACAUCCUUAUGCAUCUGCACUAAGGACCUCCUGAUAAAAUGCACAUAAAAGACUUUGAAUUCUCCAGGACAACCGCCCACCAUAUUCACAGAAGAGUUCCCAUGAGCGGGCAAAAGGUUUACUUUCACAUUUGGCGCACGGUCCUCGAAGGACACCAUACCACUCUUCAUUAAUUUCUGAACCUCAUACUUCAAUGGAUAACAAUUUUCAAUGUCGUGUCCGGGUGCUCCUUGAUGAAAAGCACAACAGAGCUCAGGUUUAUACCACCAAGGAAGUGGUUCUGGGAUCUGUGGCGGGUUUCUUGGUUGAAUUAAGUUUUAGAGAACUAAGGAUAGAUACAACUCUGUAUAUGACAUAGGAAUCGGGUCAAAAGAGACCUUCUUCCUCUCAAAGUUUUGCUGAUGAUGAUUAUUAUUGGUAUUGUUGUUGUUGUAGGUGUUCGUUCAUUGUUGUGGUUGUUGUUGUUGACGUUGUUGUUGUUGAAUUGGUGUUGCUUGUUGAUUAGAAAAUACCAGAAUUAUCGAGGAUAAUUGAUGAUGAUGAUGUUGACGGGGUGUUGGGUUCCUUCUGAUCUGAGGCCUUUUCUGCCUCCCACUUAUUACUGCAUUCGUCUCACUAUCUUUCUUCUUACCGAAAUUACUACCAUAUCUCUUGCUCGUUGAUGCCUCAUCUUUUGACAAACGUCCCUCACGGACUCCUUCCUCAAGCCUCAUCCCCAUGUUUACCAUUUCGGUAAAAUCACUAGGGGCACUAGCAAUCAUUCAUUCAUAGUAAAAUGAACUCAGAGUUUUCAAGAAGAUCUUGUUCAUCUCUUUUUCCUCCAAAGGAGGAGUGAUCUGGGCAACCAAUUGUAGCGGGGUAUUCGUUACCAUUAGAGAUAUUGACUAAAUCCAAGGUAAAUCAUACAAGUUGAGUCGCCACCGCACUUUUAUUUAUCCAAAGGAAUGGUUAGAAAGCGAACAAAAACCUAAUAGUUUUAACAAAAACUAGUAAAAGAAAACAGAGAUCUGGGUAAGGGGGUUGGUUAUGUAAUGGGAAGGUGUUAGGCACCCAAAACAUUCUAGGUACUCCUAGGGNAGAAAGGAUAAAGAAACAAAACCACAAUGGAGUUCCUCUCUUGAGAUCAUAUUGAUGAUCCAAGUAACUCCCAUCUUUUGGAAUAAGCAAUCACAAAGCAUAAGCAAUCAAACAAGUCUCUUAAGAGGUCCUCAAUGUAUCUUGUGUCUUUUACUUUGGAUGAACAUGGCAAUGGUCCUUCAAUUAAGCUCAAAGAGAAUUCCCUAGCACAAAAGCACACACAUCAAAAGCUCCAUGAAGUAAAACAAGAAUGGACAAGAGUGAGUUUAGAGAUUUGGUCCCUCUAAUCCAUCUUCAUCAUGAAAGUCCAUUUACUCCAAUUUUGCAUAAGGAAAGUCCUAGAAUCUAAGUCCAAAUCUCCAUUCUUUGCGUAGGGAAAGUCCUAGAAACUAAGUCCAUUUCUUUGCAUUUGGUCCACAAAAAACAAAACAAAAACACAAGCACAAAAGUAUAUACACAAUUAUGUGCUCAAGUAAGCAAAAGGCAAAUGGCAUUAACAUAAACAUGGGCUCAAGUGAGCAAAGAGAAAAGCAAAUGGAUAAUAUGUGCAGGAAUAGUAAAUUGCAUAAAAGUAAAGAGCAAAAGGUAAAUGUUAAUUGUUAAUGGUUAGUGUUAGUGGUUAGUGUGCCAUAAGGCAAAUUUAGCGCUAUGUUAAGCAAUCGUAAUUGGACUUAUGUAGAAGUCACAACUAUCUGAGGCCGGUCAAUAAUAAUAUAGGCAACAACACAAGUUAGAAGUCUUGAUUAGUGAACCAAGUUNUCAAUCCACCGAGACGCUUCUUUCUUUCCUAAGCGCCCUUUCGGCGUUUCAACUUAGCGAGUGUUCUGUUUUUAGGCGGAAGUGUUUCUUGACUGAGCAUCUGCGUUACAGGCGAUGUGACUCUUCACCAUCCAUAGUUGUAAGUACUCAUGCACCGCCUGAAGGAGCUUCUCUUAAAACAUAUUGGGCUUCAUUAAUUAGGAGUCCAUUUCUCUCUACGAAUUCUUGGUUUGAAGGAUAAAAUCUUCUCGAGCACAAGGGUCACCUUACUUUGAAACACAUGAGGGUUUGACCUUUCUUAUCAAAAACUUUCUUCAUACCUUGGCUUUUUGAUACAAACUGACCAUGACACAUGGCAGUUAUCUCUUGCAUCUUCAAUCAAAUUCAACUGCUCAAACUGGUCUAAACACAUUCAACCUCAGUCAACAUUAGGCUAUCCAAGGCACCGCAAUGAAAGGGCAUCUCAACCUCUACGGGGAGCCACUGCUAUCCAUACCUACACAAGAGGAAGGGAGUUGCCCCAUGUGAAUGCGAUGGAUGUUACGAUAACCCAUUAAAGAAAAUGGAGCAUCAUCAUGCCAUCCUUAUAGGGUGACAACCUCUUCGGAAUUAAUUCUUCUGGGACGUUUUUGUUCGCGGCUAUCAAAUGCCCAUCAUCUUAGGAUCUGUAGGAGAAAGAGUAUAUGAUGUGCAAUCUUGAAGUCUUGCAAGAACUUCCACCAUAUUGUUAUUCAAGUUCGAUCCAUUAGUAAGUAAAUGAAUUUACUUUCGGCACCCUACGGACAAUAUAACUUUGAUUCUGAAUAAAAACCUUUACAACAACUUGCUUGAGUUACUUUGCUUACGACUGCCGCCUUCACCAGUUGGUGAGUAGUCAAUUGCCACCAAAAUGAACGAUGUCACAUUUCGAAGACUUUGGUCAUCAUUCCCAUCAGUUAUUCAAAUUUCCCACAUGUGAGAAGGGCCAUGGGGAACGGUAACUUCAAUAGUGUCCGGAAAGAACAUUGAUCUUAUCGACAAUAAAUUUUACACUUAGAUGGCUUUCUUCACAAAAUAUGCAAUAGUCAGAUUCCAGGGUUGUCAACCAAUAGUAAUCUUGCUCUCAAAUCUUCUUCGCCUUAGCAUGUCCAUUGGAAAUGGAGUUACCAAAGGACACCUUCAUUGACAGUUCACGUCUCGACAAGUUUGCGUCGUGUCUAAUCCAAUACAUCUGAGCAAAAACCAUGAUCGAACAUCGAAGUCAACCCAACCUAUGCACCGAGUCCACGUCGAAGUUUCUACUUGUUAGACUAUUAUCACCAUUCAAGUAGAAAUUGCCGAGCUAAAUCUUCUCAAAGUCUUCUUAUUUUUCAAAUGCAUAAUACGAGGUAAAUAUGACUUUGAGAGAGAAACAUUUGAAUAUCGCUAAAUACCACGACUUCUCGAUACUUUGAUCUCUUCAACACCAACAUCUGACCGCCAAUGUUCGUAAGGCAGCAUCAUUUGCAAUCGGUUUUAUCUCGAGGGAUAUGAUGAAACUCAACCUUGUUACAGAGUUUGAAAUAACCUCCUCGAUAUUCAUAAUAGCGUAUUUAAACCGGAGUUGAUUUGUCUCCCAUUCUCUUUGCUUGAUCUCACAACCAAAAGCCAGAAAUCACCGAAAGACAUCCAAAAUACUUGAUUCUGAGAUACAUGAACCUACUCGCAGCCCCAUCAUGCAAGCUUAUAUAUCUGCCAUAUUGUGAGUAACCAUUGAAAAGUCAAAUCUAGCUGUAAUGGUAGAUGCGUGCAUUUGAAGGAAGUAAUAAUCACAUGCCCCAAUGCCAUUUCCAAUAAUUGAGUUAAACAGCUCCCAUCAAAUACAAAUGGCCCCAACGGGAUACAGGUUCUGGGCCCUUGCUCAAGGCAAUGGUUCAUUCACAAAUAUUUCAUAUUUUAAGUACAAAAUCUACUUUAUAUCAGAAGCGAUCAUGCAUUGCCAUGUCUGGUAAUCUUUCACAUUGUUGGUGAGCGAAAAUGGCUUCAGCCAAGAUACUACCUUUUAGAUUGUUACUCUAAGAUACGGUAUUCGAUAUUCAUACUCUAGCAUGUAACACAUCUGACCACACGGGGCAAUUCUCCCAUGUAUAAGCAGCUUUCUCAAAUAUAUACUGAUUGGAUCCAUUUUGGAUAUUAAAACCGAGUCGGUUUGAAUUUAACAUAUAACUGGCGCAAGACGCUUCAGCAGACCAAGCCCAUGCGCAACAAUUUUCUCAAUGCAAUACAAUACCGAGGUCUCACAGAUCGGUGAACUUACUUACAUGAGAGUAAGUAAAUUAGAAAUUCUUUUCUUUCCAUUCUUCAUCUUAGCUAACCAGAACACAACCACAUUACUUUCAUUCAAGCACAGUCAACUACCAUGAUCAAAUAUGUCCUUCCAUUCAACAGAGUGGAGCAAAAUCGAAAGGUUUCAAGACAACGAUUCUUUGAUACUAGUCAAAAGCUUUAUGUUCAGUCUUCGGAUCCAUCACACAGACUGAAUCUUUACUGAGAAGGCUUUGCUAUAGGCCGCACAUGUGGCCAAGUCUAAUGCAGGAAUGAAAUCCUGGGAGAUAAUAAUCAAGACCCCCGACGGAAAACCUAUUGACUAUGCUUUAUCUCAGUUUUGGGACGCAGGCAUCCUUUCAUAUUGCUUUCGACCUUGCGCAGAUCAACUCAAUACCCUUCUCGUAAUGGACAAAAAAGACCAAAACUUACCAGAACGAACACCAAACGUACACUUAAAUUGGGAUUAAAGCGAAGUUCUUAUUUCCGGCAAACGCAUGGAAUAGCGCAACAAAUGCUACAACAUGUUACUCUUCAUUAAUUGAUUUAGCAAAUCAUGCAUUCAACAUAACUCAAAUUCUCUUUAUGCAUCAUAUCCAUGAAAAAGAAGUAGUGCAUUGCUCUUUUCGGUAAGUUUAGCACCAGCAAUAUCUUUUAAACCGAAAAGGCAAAUCACUCUUAUAACAGGAAUAGUUCCCCAAGGUGUUAAAUGAAUGUGUCUAUCUCCAUAUCUAUCGGGAUUUGCCUUCUUGAUCAUGUUAUAUCCAGGAAAAAUCAUCCUAAACGAAAAGACUUUGAAUUUGCAAGUAGUGUCUACCAAUAUAUUAAUGUGAUUGAGCAGAGGAAAUCAAUCUUUUGGGACUAGCUAUUAUUCAAAUCUCUAUAAUCACACACAUGCGUACUUUUUCCAUCUUUCUUCAGGCAAACUUGGCAAUUAUUUUUAUGGGCCAACACCCCCCACCCAUUGCGCGAUACCAGCGGUCACAGAAACACCGACAUCAGGCUGCUUCUGCACUUCCUCUUUUGAUCUUCACAACCAUAUCAGGACGCGUUCUUCUGCACUCCUCCUUGACUGGGCAUUCUGCUAACGGCAAUCUAUGUCCCAAUAUCAGGAAUCCAACCCAAGCAUGUACUUGAAUAGGACCAAGGAAACACAUUGAAACUCAUCGACAAGAAGAUCAAAACAACCCCUUCUUCUAGCAUACUGGACACAGGCGAGACCCACAUUCAUUGACUUUCCUUACAUCAUCUUAGAACCAAGAUUGACUAGUUCCAAUCUGCUCUUCAAACGGAUUAAUUCGUCUUUUCAUCUUGCUCAGAGGCGGAGAUAAAUUACAUCGACCACUUCACAUCACUUUCCUCCUCGGCCUUCAAACCAGGAAUUCAAAAUUUGGAGAAGAAAAGGAUCAUUGUAUUUAAUUGUUAGGAACCAACCUGCUAUGAUUUGAUAUUUUUGGAUUUUAGAAAGUGAAGAUUGUGACCAAAAAUAUUAUGCAGUGGACAAUUAUAUUGGUUAUUUAUGUUUUUUGUGAUUACCAUUUUCAGGAGUUAAGCAACAAGUAAAAACAACAUUCAUAGAUGUGUGAUGAAUAAAUUAAUUGUUAUUAAUGUCAAUUGAAAAUGCCCAAAACAAGUUUCCACUUCUCCCUUAGCUGGAGCGGAUUUAAAACAUAUAAAGUAUUUACUUUUAGAUUGAUGGAAAAUAACAGGAUAUCAUUAGGAGUUAAUUGUUGCACGUCUUUCAUGCGUCACAAAGUUGGUGCAGUUUCCUCUUCGUCAUCCUCUAGCACAACAGCUAAGUGUUGUUCAUUGCCAUGAAUGAACCCUCCACUACGGGAAGCUGAGUUGUAUAUCUUCAGAUCUUGCAAUUGUGGCCUUUCUGGAACCCCAAACCGGUUUUUGCCUUGUUGUCGGAGACCCUUAUCAUGCGCCCCCACUUGAUCAAUGUUCCUUCUUCAACAAUCUUUUGAGCAUCUUUUUAAUGAGGGACAUAGGCUGCCCCACUCUCUUCUUCACAGAAAUAGAUAAGGCUUGGAACGGAGUCCCAACCUCAUCCUCAACUUCAACAUAAGAGAAAGAUGGACAGGUGGUACCAAUAGCGAACCUGUCUCCCCCCAACAAUAUCACUAGCUUGCCAUUAUUGACCAAAUUUCAGUUUCUGAUGUAGAGUGACAGUAACAGCUGCCUGUCUCAUGGAUCCAUGGCCUUUCCCAUUAAGCAACUGUAGGCCGAUGGAUAUUUUGCAUUCCGUGAAAAGGAAAGCUGAAAAUCACUCGGACCUAGGGUUGACUGGAAGGUCUUCUUCCACCAAUUAUGGUCCUUGCGCGAACCAUCAAAGGGCUUUGACGAUUAACACCGCUAUACCUCCAUGCAGUGCUCCUUGAUAAGAUGAGGCUCUCGACAAAUUUGACCUAUGGAAGCUAUUCAGUGACGAACCCCCCCGGUUGUCAAUAAGACAUUUGACAAAGCAUCUUCCUUGCCCAUUAUCGAGAUAUGCAAGCCAACUUUGGUUUCUUUCUCUCCUUGGGAGUAUUCUCAUCAUAGAAAGCUGAAGAUUUUGCAAAGAAGUGAUGUUAGCCACAUAUGAUCGAAAUGUCCAACUGUAACAUCAUGUUUUUACAAAAAUCUUUGUUCCAGAACUCUCUGCAGUUGCUUCUCUAUGCGCUUCGGAAUUCAUUCAGCGAGACAACCUGACAUUUUUGAGGGGGUUUGAGCUGCUGCUCUACCACAUUUGAACUCUCUCCUUUUUGAUUUAGUCGGAGUACCUCAUCAUCAUCAUUAGGCUUUUCAAAUUGUGGAUUCACCAAACUUAUCUUUCGAACAGCAAUGGGUCCACCACUAGGCCACCUCCACUUCUCCCAACAAUUGUUUCCUUUUAUCCUUGGGGAACACCGGCCCAACAUCGACCACUGCGGGUCACACUUAAGUAACAGCAGCAAUGCUCACUACUGAACUAGGUCGUAGGUACGGGACCUCUUGACCAUCCUUCAUAUUUGGUAGCUUAUAGUGAUUACGACACAACUUUCAUCAGAUGAAUACGGACUGGGCCGCUAACGUAUUACCACGCGAUACUGAUCUUUACUGUUGUGUAUUAGAGUCAUAUGGAUUCCAAUCGCUCUUGUUUGGCUUGGGAAAACGGGCACUAUGACAUUACAUCGUCAUCUCAUGACGGGAUUGAACAAUUUAGAUCAUUCCUUCAGUACAAUCAGUGCGUUGGAUGUUCCCGUUUUCACAAAACCUCAACAACCCUCGGGUUAACACUACAAACAGCACAACCUCAUGGUCGUGCUCGCAUUCACUUACCAAACAAAACAUUCCUUAUGCAUCUGCAUAAGGACCUCUCGAUAAAAUGCACAUAAAAGGACUUUGAUUCUCCAGGAACAACCGGCCACCAUAAUUCACAGAAGAGUUCCCAUGAGCGGGCAAAAGGUUUCUAUUCACAUUUGUGCGCACCAGGUCCUCGAGACACCAUACCACUUUUCAUUAAUUCUGAACCUCAUACUUCAAUGGAUAACAAUUUUCAAUGUCGUGUUCGGGUGCUCCUUUGAUGAAAGCACAACAGAGCUCAGGUUUAUACACCAAGGAAGUGCGUUCUGGGAUCUGUGCGGGUUUCUUGGUUGAUUAAGUUUUGAGAACUAGAGGAUAGAUACAACUCUGUUAUGAAUAGGGAAUGCGGCGUCAAGAGACCUAUUUCCUCUCAAGUUUUGCCUGAUUGAUGAUUUUAUUGGUACUUGUUGUUGUUGUAGCGUGUUUCGUUUCAUGUUUGUGGUUGUGUUGUUGUUGACGGUUUGGUUGUUGUUGAAUUGGUGUGCUUGUGGAUUAGAAACUUAACCGAAUUAUCGAGGAUAAUUGUGGAUGAUGUUGACGGGGUGUUGGGUUCCUUCUGAUCUGAGAGGCCGUUUUCUGCCUCCCACUUUAUUACUGCAUUCGUUCUCACUAUCUUUCUUCUUGACCGAAAAUUUACCUAUUCUCUUGCUCGUUGAUGCCUCAUCUUUUUGACAAACGUCCUCACGGACUUUCCUCAAGCCUCAUUCCAUGUUUACCAUUUCUUUAAUCACUCGGGGCACUACAGCAUCAUUCAUUUCUAGUAAAAUGAACUCAGAGUUUUCAGAAGAUCUUGUGCAUCUCUUUUUCCUCCAAAGCGAGGAGUGACUGGGCAACAAUUGUAGCCGGUUGUUUCGUUACCAUAGAGAUAUUGACUAAUCAGGGUAAAUUCAUAACAAGUUGAGUCGCCACCGGCACUUUUAUUUAUCAAGAAUGGUUAGAAAGCGACAAAAACUAAUUAGUUUUACAAAACUUAGUAAAGAAAACAGGAGAUCUGGUAAGGGGGUGGGGUUAUGUAAUGGGAAGCGUGUUAGGCCCCAAACAUACUAGGUAUCCUAGGAGCCCUUUUCUAACUUGUUGUAAGGUUGUUGUUUUAUGAAAAUUUUGGUUUGUGCAAACAAUGAUUGAAGAAGAUGAGAGAGAAUAUGACAAGGCUUUAUUUUACAUUUUGUGUUGGCUGGAUAACAACCCUUGCCUUACGUACCAUUUAUAAAAGUUAGGAUCAAAGACCUCGUAGUUCGGUAAAAAAUCUCCAAUGCGUUUGUUGAAUUGAUUGCGUCCAAAAAGCCUUUAAGGUCUGUUUGUUAUCAAAUGGGAGAAAACUCAACCAACCACAAUCCACCAAUGUGAGGAUAGUCCGUAACAUGCUAGUGAGGGGUUAAACCAGUAAUCAUGGAAGACUCAUUGUCCAUCACUAGCUUAUAAGGUGAGUUUAUAUCUUCCACAAGGUAACUCCAAAACCUAAUGCUAAGGUUAUGGAAAAUUGAUUAAGAAGUGGCCAUUGAACCACAAAAAGACACUUGCAUGGGUUGAUAUUUACCAUUUGAGUAUAUACAAAAAAUGGUCAAAGUUGAUUUAAAGUGAUUUCAAUUCAAAAUUUGUGUUAUGAAAAGAAGGUUUGAACAAUCAAAAGCCCUUAAGGCUUAGGUUUCUAAUGUUGGGGGAAAACAUGGUUAAAUGUUUGCACAAAGAGUUUUGGCUUGGUUAGAGUGGGAGAAGAGGAAGAUGGCUAAAUCCUACAGAAAGCCAAAGAGAAAGGAUAAAGAAACAAAACCACAAUUGGAGUUCUCUCUUGAGAUCUAUUGAUGAUCCAAGUAACUCCCAUCUUUUGGUAAGCAAUCAAAGCAUAAGCAAUUCAACAGUCUCUUAAGAGUCCUCAUGUUAUUCUUGUGGUCUUUUACUUUGGCUUGAAACAUGGCAAUGGUCGUUCAAUUAAGCUCCAAAGAGAAUUCCGCUGCACAAAAGCACACACAUCAAGUCCAUGAAGUUAAAACAAGAAUGGACAAGAGUGAGUUUAGAGAUGGGUGGUCCCUCUAUCCAUCAUUUCAUUCUGAAAGUCCUUUACUCCAAUUUUGCAUAAGGAAAGUCCUAGAAUUCUAAGUCCAAAUCUGCCAUUCUUUGCGAGGGAAGUUCCUAGAAACUAAGUCCAUUUCUUUGAUUUGGGUCACACAAAAAACAAAAACAAAACCACAAGCCAAGUAUAUACACACUUAUGUGCUCAAGUAAGCAAAGGCAAAUGGCAUUAACAUAAACAUUGGGCUCAAGUGAGCAAAGAGAAAGCAAAUGGGAAAUAUGUGCAGGAAUAGUAAAUUGCAUAAAAGUAAAGCAGCAAAAGGUAAAUGAUUAAUUUGUUAAUGGCUGCUUCAGUGUUAGUGGUUCGUGGCCAUGAGGCAAAUUUCGCGCUAUGUUAGCAAUCGUAAUUGGACUUAUGUAGAAGUCACAAUAUCUGAGGCGGUUCAAUAAUAUAAGGCAACAAAACACAAAGUUACGAAGUCUUGAUUAGUGGAACCAAGUUCAACAACUUGCCAUGCGCAAAAGAAAAGAGAAUUGUUCUUGUAUUGGUUUUAAGCUUUUUGCAUGGAUUUAGAAAACAACCCUAUCCUUAAUGGCAAAGUCAUUCACUUGAUCAAUUGAUCAAGAUGAAUUAGAUUGAUCAGGAAGAUUAAGUCUCCCUAAUCAAUGGCUUAACUUAUCAACGCUUUCAACUCAGUGAUCAAAAAGAAAAUAAGAAGGAAGAAGAAGGAGACAUGGAUAUGGAUAAUGAAAAUGGAAAGACUCAAAAAAUGCAUAAAGUGAAAUAAGAUGUACCGAUCCAUAUGGUAUUGUACUAACAUGACAUUGAGAGUCAAAGUCAAACACUGAUAAAUCAGAAAUGAGAUGAAGAUGGGAAAUUCAACAAUAAGCAAAAUAUUUGUGGCAUUUUUAAAAUUUAAAACUUAAACUUGAAUUAAAAUAAAAGAGAAGGUCAAACUUCAAAAUCACUUCAAUCAACCUUGAAAGGUCCAAGUGAUUUAAUCCAAGUUCAACAAGGUUAACAAAGUUGGACAAAAAAAUUCAGCACUUUUAAAGUCAGAAAACUAUUUUUUAAUUUCAAUUAAAAACUGAAUAAAAAUAAACCUAAAUUGAACUAAAAUCUCAAAAUUAAAUCUUCAAAUCAAUUUAAAAAUUUGAUGAGAAUAAUUUUUCUAGAUCCUCAUCAUUAUCAAAUUAGGUUAGGAAAUAUUUUGCAUUUUUGGAAUAUAAAAAACUAUUUAAACUGAAUUAAAAAAUAACCAGGAAAGAGAAAAUUCACAAAUUAUGUGCAAAUUGAUGAAAUAAAAACUAUUAACAUCAGAAUAGGAAAUAAAAGGAAUUUAUUUGGAGACUAAUGCAAUUGGUCCCAUAAUUUUUGGAUUAAAAUGAGAGAGAUAUUGAUUUUGAAAUAAAGGAAUAAACAAAACUAAAUCAGAAAUUUAGAAACUGUGGAAAAUCCUGGCGCGUUUAGAUUCUCCUUUCAUUAAAUGACGGAUGAUUCUGAGCAAAUGGCAUACAGCGCGCAUCAUAGGACCAAGUCAAUGCGACCACACAUUAGAUUAAAUAAAAGUUCAUAACAAUAAGGCAAGAUUCAAAUCUGGGAUAAUGAAUCCAGGGUCCACAAAUUGCCAUCUGGCAAUGAAGGACGACCACCGGAGCCACCUUCUUCUCCGGUUGAGCUUGGAUUUCUGGCCAAAUUGCACGAGAUCCAAAAGGCAAACCCGAAAAUGCACGAUCCAUACAUCUUCAGAAAGCCUGGGAUGCAUGUACAUCAAUCCUUGCUUUGCCACUCAAUUCCACUCUAAGAUCUCUAUAUUGAGGAGAAAUCAGGAUGGAAGUUCUGUAGGUGAUUCAUCAUGAACUCAAUGGAUUUCAAAAAACUAAAUGGCCAUAUCAUGAUGCCUCUAUUGAAGAGGCACUCAGGUCAACACAAGAUCCAAGCAAAUGGUCAUAUGGAUGAUGAGAUUCGAAGAAAUACCAGUUGGGUAAGAGUAAGCUUGAUUUCUUGGAAACUAGAGCUUGUUCCUUGCUUUCUUUGCCAAAACAGAAGAUCAAAUAAGAUGAAAUGAUGUGACAGGUUCAGAAGCUUUAGAUCCAAAGGGAUUCAACCAGAUUGUAGUUGAAUUUUGGAUCUGAAAAAUUUGGAAAGAAAGUGAGUACUUCUGUGGUUUGGUUAUGGUUUCAGUUGUUGCGAUUUUCUGGCGCCAUUAAGGCUGAGGAGCGUGAGGCGGAACGGCUCUAUACUAUAGCAAUUAGAAAGGCAUGCAUUGAAAAUUUCAUGUUGCAUGAAUAAAGGGGGGCCUCCAUGCAUGGGCCUGUACAGGCGCAUGGAGGGUCCCAAAUCUAAUUGAUUUUGGCAGCUGUCGUUAACAUCAGCUAUUUUGUUUGGACGUGGAGAAUAAUGAUGUAUUGGCAUUAUGCAUGAAGUCUGAAUCAAGUUUCCAUAAUUCACCAAAAUAUCCCUCCUUCGAAAAUGCCAUUUGCCCAACCCAAAUCCAAACAUGAUCAUGUGAGUAAUGGUUGGAAAGGUCUUGAUGUAAGGAACAAUUGUUAUGUUGGGCAAAAAUCCAUUUGAAGUGUGGAAAUUUAUGAAAUUUGAGUUUAAAGUGCAAGGUGUAUGACAUGUCAAAGCAAGGUUUCUAAAUUUGGCCAAUUUUCAAGCCCUUUAGUGUUGAUGAUUCAAGCCUCAAAUGAAAAAACCUCCAACAUAAAAGUUGUAUAUCUUUUCAAGACAAUGAAAAUGGAAUUAAAUUUUGCAUCAUUUAUAUUUUUGAUGAAAGAGUUAUGGGCACUUGAAGUUGGAUUUUUUUGCCUUUUAAUGCAUUUAGCCCAAAAGGACCUAUAAAGUAUUGCAUUAUCACAUGUAUUUCCUUUGAGAUUUUGAAAUUUUGUUCAACAUAAAAUUUGGAGUAGACAUCUUAAUAUUUCCAAUGCAUUUGAUCCCACCUUAAAAUCAUAACAAAUGAAUGAGUUAUGUCCUUAGGAAGUUGACCCAAAAUUAGGGUUUCAGUCAAAAUGACCUAUAAUGUCUUGGUAUGGGAGAUGACCUUCCAAGUUUUAAAUCAAUUUUUGAUGAACAUGAAAGUUGUUCCUUUUGUCCUUAAGAACAUUUUUGAUUUUGGAAUCAUCUCCAUUUGACCAACACAUAACAAGUUAGGUCUUAGUGCAUUUCAAAAUAGUCAGAUGAAUUGACUGAUCAACUUCUCAAGUCCAUGACGUAUAUCUUGAUGAAUUGAUGAUUGAGGACACUCAAAUAAGUUCAAAUAUGCAUGAAAUGAUGAAUUAAAGAACUUCCCUUGAUUGUAUUUGACCAUGGGCUAAGGUUGCUUCAGGAGCAAGGCAUUGUGGUGCACAGAUGAAUUAGGGUUUCUUUGGGGAACUAACCUCAAAUCCUUUGACUUGCUUUGAUAAAAAUGAUGAAAUGAGAUGCUAGGGGGGAAUACUUGAUGGAUGAGAGAAUUGGUAACCAUUACCAUGCUUGCUAUCAUCUCCUUUUGACCUUACCCUUGCAUAAGUGAUCUCCUUGAAGCUCUUGACCUUGUGAUUGCUCAAGCUACAAACAAAAGAUGUUAGUGACAUAUUUUUGUGCUUUUGGUUAGUGAACAAAAUAAGAAAAGCAAUGAUAUACAAUUCAAGCAUGCUUGUGUCUCAAACCACCCACAAGAAGUCUAACAACAAAGGUAAGAGGGAAACAAGAUGCUAAGGAUCCUUGAGGCAAUGCAAAUGCAAUGUUAUGAUGCCAUGAGGGAUCUUAGGGACAAAAUUAGGGUCUUACAGAUGCCCCUAUUUAAGGUCAUUCUAGCCGGAGAAGUGAAGGUUAAAAUCUUCAUCUUGACAGGGUAGAAUGGGCUUAAAUAAUAACAAAGAGAUGAAUUUUGGUCCCUAAGAGACCUCAUGAUGCAGAUGUAUGCAUGCAAAUGGCAAAACUCUAUGGGGAUAGGCGUCCACAAAAGAAAAAGAAAUCCGGAGAAACUAAAAAAUCCCGAAGGAGUAAUACACUCACUAGGGAGACAGAGACUCUACCGGGGAGUAAAGGGCUGAAAAUGCGUGAGCAGGUCACGACUUGAGACUUGCUGAGAGACAUAGAGAGAAUCCAUGAAAUAAAUCAAUGGAAGAACUCGUGCUGACUCGAAGAUGCAUGUAUUGGGGAAUAUGCCAAUACAGCCAAAAAUUAUCCGCAAUGGAUACUUCGGAUGAAAAUCCGGACUCAGGUGCGGAUGUCCCCUAAGGACUCAACUGACGAAGAUCCCGACAGAAAACCUCCUAGGGAAGCAACUGUAUCAGGUAUUACCGGUUACUGGGUAAUGAGCUCAAAGAGACGUGUGAUCUGAACACCGGUAUAAGGGUGAGAGAACAACAUGCUCGGGAAGAAUGAGUAUCUAAGACCGGUAUAAGGGUGAGAGAUAUCAAUCAACCAAAUCAUCUGAGGAAGACAUGAUCUGAACACCGGUAUAAGGGUGAGAGAACAACAUGCUCGGGAAGAAUGAGUAUCUAAGACCGGUAUAAGGGUGAGAGAUAUCAAUCAACCAAAUCAUCUGAGGAAGACCUAAAAAGGUAUAUUUAAACUCAGGAUAAUCUGACUCCACAGGGGGCAAAAAGUCAUAAUAGGGAGCAGAAGGAAGGAACACCAAGGAUGCCGGUUACUGGGCAUAUAAUAGGUGACCAACCAAAGCAUGAAUUGGGGAAGAUUCCCAAAACACUCAUCAUCCAAAAAGAGGGCAAAAGGCAAACUCGAUUAUGGGAUGGACAUUCGAUUCCGAAACAGGGAUACGAAUCUUACUAAACUAGGGAAGAACAAAAGGCUUCAACCAAAGAGUGCAUGAGAUAUAUUAUCUAUUACCGUCAAAACGUAGAUAAUACACUCGCAUGGAAGAUUAUCCACAACCAGUUACUGGGUUAAUAAAGGAUAGAUCAACCGAGAGGGAAGGGCAUCGGGAUACCGAAACUAGGUAUAUAAUGAUGACCAAUCAAGGGGAGCAACAAACAUUACCGGCAACCGGUAUAUGAGAGAUGAUUUGUUGGGGAUAAAAUUGCCUAAUCAGAGCAAUUAUCCAAGAGAAAAAAGGAAUAUCAACACCGAAUAUUGGAUAGUGAUAACCGUCAAGGAGGGGAUUACAUCUACCGGAUACUGGGUAGAAAACCACGGAAGAGUAACCGUCAUCGGUUAGGAUGAAUAAGAAGGUUACCUCUACAAAGGAGAGAAAAUAGGGUUUAUAACUACCAGUAUAAGGGUAGAAAACCACAAACUCCGCCGAGGAUAAGAUGAAUGAUUACCGAUUACUGAGCAAUUAUUCAUUUAUACCAUGGGGAAACACAGGAAAUAGUCACAAGAGGCCAACUUAGGAUCAAACCAAAAA